rnacentral:lncRNA from 1 species
AAUUUGAUGCAUAUUGAGCUUGAAGUGUAGGUAGACUACCAAGUGGAAAGGUGGAGCAGAGUUUUCAUUAGUGCUGGGCUCAUAUCAGGAUGGAAUCAUAGAUCUAGGAGUUCUACAGCAGUAAUAACAGAAACCUAGUGAUUGUUAAGAGAGUAUAUGUUGAGAGAAAGGAGGAAAAAAGAGAAGAUGGUCAAAAUGUUUAAUGAUUUAAGUACUAGGACAUUUGAAAAGAUAUGGAUGUUUUAUACAUCUAUACUACCUAAAAAGUGACUUGAAUUUUUACUUUUCAUCUACAUGGUUUAGUAACAUGGGGGCAUUUAUAUUUACUUUUUUUGGUGAUUUUAAAUUUAGUAUUAUAUGUGGAAAGGUGUGGGUGAUUUCUAACAUAUAUGCUUGAUGCCACGGCCUAUAUACAAUUAUCAUAUCCCCUUAAUUGGAAAAGUUUGAACAAUCAAAGGGCAUUUUUCUAAAUGGCCUCCUCAACUGUUUUCUGUGUUUUGGUCAUAUCCAAACAUAUUUUGAUAUUUUGUAUGUUUGUCUUCAGGCUUACUCAUUAAACCUCUACCUGACUUCUUUAUUGGAGACUUUCGCAAGCUGCUCUGAAAAUUCCUUUUUGGUCUGAUGAUGACAACUGCCUUUAAGUUUUGUUUAUCUAAUAUUGGAGUGAACGAAGUCUCAGGUACGUCUUUAUGAGCAGUGUGAAAAUGGACUAAUACAGUAAAUUGGAACCAGUAGAGUGGAGCAUUGCUGAAAAGAUACCUGCAAGUAUGGAAAUGACUUUGCAACUGGAUUCACAGGCGGAAAAGACUUGCCUUGUCUCAGAUGAGACGUUGGACUGUGGACUUUUGAGUUAAUGCUGAAAUGAGUUAAGACUUUGGGUGACUGUUGGGAAGGCAUAAUUGUUUUUAAAUGUGAGGACAUGAGAUUUGGGAGGGCCCAGGUAUGGAAUGAUAUGGUUUGGCUGUGUCCCUACCCAAAUCUCACCUUGAAUUGUAAUUCCCACAAUUCCCAUGUGUAGUGAGAGGACCCUGGUUGGAGGUGAUUGAAUUAUGGGGGCAGGUCUUUCCUAUGCUGUUCUCAUGGUAGUGAAUGAGUCUUAUGAGAUCUGAUGGUUUUAAAAACAGGAGUUUCCCUGCAUAAGCUCUCUUUUUGCCUGCUGCCACCCGUGUAAGAUGUGACUUGCUUCUCCUUGCCUUCCACCAUGAUUGUGAGGCCUCCCCAGCCAUAUGGAAUUGUGAGUCCAUUAAACCUCUUUCUUUUGUAAAUUGCCCAGUCUUGGAUAUGUCUUUAUCAGCAGUGUGAAAACAGACUAAUACACUACCCAAGGAAUCUAUAGAUUCAAUGUAAUCUAUAUCAAAUUUUCUUCCAUUGUGUGAGUUGCCUUUUAACUUUCCUAACUGUGUUUUUUGAAAUAUGAAAAUUUUUAAUUUUGAUGAAGUCAAACUUUUUUUUCUUUUUUCUUGUACUUUUGAUUUCACAUGUAAAAUAUUUUAAACAUUUAGGAAAAUGCAAAAGAUAAUAUGGCAUACAAUUAUGUACACACAACAAAGAUUUAACAUAUUUAAUUAUCUACAAGUUUGUUUAUUUUUUAGAACCUAAUUUGUGGUUUAAGAUCCAUGUUUUUUGCCUUUCUUUCAGAGUACACACAAAUUCUAAAUUUCAAAUGUAUCAUUUUCACAUAUAUCUUAAAUAAUCUCAUUAUAUUGAUAAAAAUUUCAAUUUAAAUGCCUUCAGUCAAUUUAAAACAAUGUUUUGUUGUUUAAAACAUUUACAUAAAUGGCAUAAUAUACCUAACUUUUUGCAGGUCAGUUUUUCUCAAUAUUGAUGUUUUUUACAUUUGUUCAUGUUGGCUUAUGUAUAUCUACUAAUUUUCACCUUGGUAUAGUGUUAAAUUACAUAAAUAAAUAAAUAUAUUUUCAUUUUUCCACAGAUAUAAAAUUAGGUUGCUUUUUUUGCUAUUAUAAAUAAUGUUUUAAAGUAUAUCUUUGUAUAUGUCUUUUAAUGCUCAAGGGGAAGCUUUUGAAAUAUGAUUUACCUAGAAGUAAAAUUGUUAGAUGAAAUAGUACAAUUAUUAAAACUUUACUAUACAUUGCCCAAUUGCUUUGUUGUAACAAUUCAUAUCCAACCAGCAAAAUAUGAGUCAAGGUAUCCCUGCUUAAUUAUCAACAUUUUGUCAGACUUGUUAAUUUUUGCCAACAAGACAAUAAUUUGGUAUCUUAUUAAAAUUUGAAUUUUUCUGUUUAUUAAUAAGAUUGGUUUUCAUGUUUAUUGUCUAUUGGAUUCGUUUUCUGUAAAAUUUCUGUUCAUAUCCUUUGACCAUUCUUCUAUUUGUUUUUAUCUUGAUGGCUUCUUAUAGACUAUUUGAAUUUUUAUUAUUAUUUUUUUGUGGCAGAGUUUUUCUCUGUUGCCCAGGUUGGAGUGCAGUGGCAUGAUCUUGGCUCACUGAAACCUCCACUUCCUGGGUGAAAUGUUUAAUAUAUGCUGGAUGCUAAUGCAUUACCAGUUACAUGCUCUGCUCGUACCUGUGUUUUGAUUUUUAUGUUAUUCUUUUCUGUGAAAAGAUUUAAAUU